GCGGUCGUGGCGGAAUGGCAGACGCGUCAGACUAAGGAUCUGGUGGGUGUAAUACCCGUGGAGGUUCGACUCCUCUCGACCGCACUA
rnacentral:tRNA from 3 species